rnacentral:tRNA from 1 species
CUCUGAGUGGUCUAGUUGGUUCAUGGCGUCCGACUGUAAUUGCAAAGUUGUCAUCGGAAUGUCGGCGGUUCGACUCCGUCCUCGGAGA